UGGUUUAGGGCUGAGCAAACGGUCGGUUACCGAAAACCGAACUUUCAUAUUUUUUGAAAUCGAAUCGAACCGUACUUAUCAUUCAAACCGAAUCGAACCGAACCGAAAUUACUUCGGUUUUUUCGGUUUGGUUCGGUUAAAACCGAACUUUAUAUAUAAAAAAAAACCUUCAAAAACAAAUUAAAAAAAUGCACAAAAAAUCUACCGGGGGUUAAAUCUACUGGGGCUCAAUGUAAAUUCUAGCGGUUGCAAAUAGCAUAACAUGGGGUGGCAUCAAGAUUCAAGCGUUAAUCAUACAGAUUACAGUAGCCAAUAGCCAUACACAGUCAGGACAGCAGCAGGGACUAUCUUGGAGUAUCAAACUUAAGAUGAUGCAGCACAGAGAGAGGCCAGACCCCUUCAGGUGAGCUUGAACUUGAAUCGGAAGUCUGGUGCCGGUGGUGCGCCGGUGAGGUGGUGAGAUAUGUAUUCGAUUAGCCGAUUAGGAUUAGGAUUAGGUCAGG
rnacentral:lncRNA from 1 species